rnacentral:misc_RNA from 1 species
GUGAGUCAUCGAAUCUUUGAACGCAUCUUGCGCCCUUUGGUAUUCCGAAGGGCAUGCCUGUUUGAGUGUCAUGAAAUCUCUCAUCUCAUCGGGUUUCCGAUGAUGAUGGCUGUGGGUGCUGCCAUCUGGCUCGCCUUAAAAGUGUUAGUGGUUCCGAAAUCGAAUCUGGCGUCAUAAGUUUCGCUGGUCUAGAUCAAAGGCUGCUCAUAACCUGUCUUCUGACAUUUUUGCUCUGCCCUCAAAUCAGGUAGGACUACCCGCUGAACUUAAGCAUAUCAAUAAGCGGAGGA